rnacentral:rRNA from 1 species
GACGAACGCUGGCGGCGUGCUUAACACAUGCAAGUCGAACGGAAAGGCCCCCUUGUGGGGUACUCGAGUGGCGAACGGGUGAGUAACACGUGAGUAACCUACCCUUGACUUUGGGAUAACUUCAGGAAACUGGGGCUAAUACCGGAUAGGAGCUCCUGCUGCAUGGUGGGGGUUGGAAAGUUUCGGCGGUUGGGGAUGGACUCGCGGCUUAUCAGCUUGUUGGUGGGGUAGUGGCUCACCAAGGCUUUGACGGGUAGCCGGCCUGAGAAGGUGACCGGCCACAUUGGGACUGAGAUACGGCCCAGACUCCUACGGGAGGCAGCAGUGGGGAAUAUUGCACAAUGGGCGGAAGCCUGAUGCAGCAACGCCGCGUGCGGGAUGACGGCCUUCGGGUUGUAAACCGCUUUCGCCUGUGACGAAGCGUGAGUGACGGUAAUGGGUAAAGAAGCACCGGCUAACUACGUG